GUUCCCAGUCUGGAUGCGGGGGCUCCCCCAAGCCCCGUGUCCCCGCUCCCACACGCCACGCAGGAACCACCCCCGUGCCACCUCCCCGCGCGCGCACAGAUGACGUCACUCGCCCCUCCCGCUGCCGGCCGAGCUCUCAGCACGCGUCUUCCAGGUGGGCGCUUCAAGUCCGAAACCGGCUUCCUAUUGGUGCCCCUCCAGAUUGGCACAUCGGAAAACCAAUAAGAAGCCUCCUUCCUCUACCUGCAGCCAAUGAAAAGGAAGGGGCGGGCCGCGGCGCCAAGCGUGGGGCUCAGUUAAAUGCGCGGAGGAGGCGGGACCCAGAGAAGAGUUCUGCUUGAGGAUGCCAAAGAUUAAUAUGGAAAAAAAAGAAAAGAAAGCAG